UCUAAAAUCAAUAUAUAAAAUAAGGGAUCGGACUCACCGGGAUCUUUUUAAGAUGAUUAGCGCUUGAAACCCUGGCCGGGCGUAGUGAGCCGAUGAUAUCCUUUGCUAGGAUCGACAAACCUCACACGGUUUCCUUUUAAAAGCCUCAGUCUGCCUCAGACUGUUUUCUUUAAGUUGCCUCACACGGUUUUCUUUUAAAAUCCUCUUCCUCUUAGUCCUCAGACGUAUUCUUUUAUUCAGCCUCACACGGGGCACCACUUGUCGGAGCCAGCCGUACAAAUGGCGAAGUUUAGCAUAAAAUUAUGACACAGAGAGCCAGCAAUAUUUUCAUGAUGGUAGGAGCAGCUCCUCUCGAACUUCCCUCUCCUCCUCCUGCAAACUUCUUUAUUCCUUUGUCCCUCUCCAGCCGCAUGGCUGUUUGCCAAUGUCUCACGUUACCUCAUCCGGUCAAGGCUUUAACCCACCCACAAACCAUAUAAGGUUAAUACAUUCCAAUACAUUGUAAAGCUCAGAGUGCUGGUCAGCCGAGGUCAGGGGGCACCCUGCAAUAUUACAAGCCUUUACCGUGGCUUUAUGACUCCCACA